rnacentral:tRNA from 2 species
GCGAGAGUGGCGGAAUUGGUAGACGCGCCAGAUUUAGGAUCUGGUGGGAUUUCCUGUGGGGGUUCAAGUCCCCCCUCUCGUA